UACGUAGGGUGCAAGCGUUGUCCGGAAUUAUUGGGCGUAAAGAGCUCGUAGGCGGUCUGUCGCGUCUGCUGUGAAAACUCAGGGCUUAACCCUGAGCUUGCAGUGGGUACGGGCAGACUAGAGUGCGGUAGGGGAGACUGGAAUUCCUGGUGUAGCGGUGAAAUGCGCAGAUAUCAGGAGGGAAACACCGGGUGGGCGAAAGGCGGGGUCUCUGGGCCGUAACUGA
rnacentral:rRNA from 1 species